UAUUGAUUGGUUUCUACGAACACUCUAUUUAGAAAGUUUAGCUAAACCUAUAACCUAUCCGAUAUAAUUGUAGGAAACUAGGAAUAUCGAAUGAUGAUUGGUUCAGCGUUUGCUCUAUCGAAUGGUGCAAACCAAGCCUCAAAAUUUAUAUUUUAGUUCAAGUAGUAUUGUAUGAACAUACAAGUCAAAAAUGAAUGAAGGAAAAAACGCAAACGUGCACAAAAAACCACAACGAAAACGAGCACAAAAUUUCUCUGAAGCGGAGAAAAUGAUUUUGAUCAAUUUAGUCCAAAAGUAUAAACAUAUUCUUGAAAAUAAGAAAAUUAACGCGGUAACCUCAAAAGACAAAGACAACUGUCGGAAAACUGUAGAGCACUCAUUUAAUAGUAGAUCUUCGAGUGAAUAUCGAAAUUCUGAAGUUUUGAAAAGCUGUUGGGAUAAUUUAAAAAAAAAACAAGAAAAUUUUUUGCAGAUGAAAGGAUAAAGUUGUAUAAAACAGAUGGAGGAUCUUAUGAAUCACAGUCAGACAAUCUUCUGGAACUAGUACGAGAAACUAUUCAACCUUCAGUUGAUGGCUUGACUAACAAUUUUGACGAUGAUGAUUUAACAGAAAACAAUAUAAAUUCGUGCAAUGUUCCUACAAAUACAAGUACAAAUAUGAAUACAAAUACAAAAACAAGUACAAAUACGAAUACAAAUACAAAAACAAGUACAAAUACGAAUAUAAAUACAAAUUUAUAUGAGGCAACAACUAGUACUAAUAAUACUAUGCAGAUUGAAUGGUUUGAUGAAAAUGAUAAUACAACAGAUGAAAGCAUGCAUGAAGAUGAUGUACUAAAUGUAAGUAAUUAAGAAAUAUUAAUUACCUAUAAUUAAAGUAUUAUUGCGUUCUGCAAAAAAA